rnacentral:hammerhead_ribozyme from 1 species
GCACUGCUGAUGAGUCCCGAACAGGACGAAACAGCUGUCCAGUGC